GGCUGCGGGCGCGCCUCUCCCCUUCGGGUCAGGUACUGAGCCUCGCCCGCGAUUCCCGGCGCGGCACGUGUUCCUGGCAGGCGCCCAGCGCCAGGAGACUGUACCGUUACCGCCUGCGAUGGUAUCGCGGAGACGCCCUUGGGAGGAUGAAUGAACACUGAAUCCUUUAGAAAACAGACAGCUCCAAACAUUUCCACCACAGUCAGGGACUCCAGUGUUGCCUUAGGGACGAGGACUCCAUGGAUAUUUAAUGAAGAAAGGGGAAGAGGACAGGGGACAGAGGCCUGAGAAUCCCCUGGGAAGGGCUAGAAUCUCAUCCAGCAUUGAAAGAUGACAUCAGAGCCGCUAUUCAAAAAGAACCCAAUUUAUCAACCUUCCUUAAUAAAGGAAUGUCAGCCACAUCGCUGUUAAAGGCUAUAUAACACUCCGCUGUGCAGCUCAACCAUGAAGUGUUGAAUGAUUCUGGAGUUCAGCUGAAGGGAGGUUUCUUCAAUGUCAAUAAAGGUAAAAUGCUUUAUUCCAGCACUUCCCCCUUGCCAAGCUUCCCAUUUUUUCCCUCUGUGUUUGUAUUGCUUUAGAGCUGUAUUUCUACAGAACUGUAUUCCCCACCGCCCAUUCACCACCUGGAGUUAUUAGAGUCCUCGUCAACUAGAGAAGCAAAAUUGUUUGCAGCCGGAAAAGCUGACGUAUGACGAAGCAAGGACGAUGCCUUGAAGUUCAAAUUGGGAAUGUGCUGCUGAUACAGGAAACAGAAAUGAAGAGUGUGCUUUCUUGCCAAGAUUUGAAUAGGGAGAAGAGGAAAAGAUUUUCUGCACGCCUUCACUUCUUCCCAAGCCCUACCCUCGAGGAGAGGUUUUUCGCAAGGGAUAGGCUGUUCCCCACCAUGCUGACUGAUGCUGUAAGCAGUUUGCAGACCAAGCCCGUGGCUCCAUUUACAGACUCACUGGCUGCAAAAAAAAUCCAAGAGGGCAUGCUCAGAAUGUGCCACCCCUUCCACGAACAGCUCUUUCAGCCCCGGUGUGGUUCAGCAGCACGAAGGACUGCUCACUUGGCAUGUUUAGCUCUGACAAUCCCAUUCCUUCCAUCAGGAAAAGGCACAGGCACAGGAGGGCGCCACCUGAAGGAAGGGACAAGAUGCCAUAAAAUCAUAGAUGGCUCCAGAGGAACGGAAGGGAGAAAAAUGGCUGGGUGGGCCGUUCAUUUCUGAGCUUCACCCCACUGUGACCCCAAAACCUAUGGAGAGAAAUAUCAUCAUUAGAAGACAAAAGGAUUUAAUGUGAAAUAUAAUGACAGAAGAACUAUUACCACCAAUAUCUCUGAUCAAUUGCUUAGUUUCUGCCAGUAUUAUAGAAAGUGAUUUCUACCCAUUUAUAAUGCAAUCCUUACAACAUUAUGAAAGAUAUUUUAUUACUUCCCUGUUUUCAGAUGAGAAAAUGGAGGGACAAACAGUUCAAGUACUUUGCCAUAGGUUACAUAACUACGAGGAGGUGAACCAGGAUUCUAGACCAAGUCUUAGCUCCCUGCUUUGCAUAAAUCAUUCCACCUGCCUUGCUUCCCCACCCCAUUUUCCUUUCUGUAAACAUUAACUAAAUCCCUCAGUGACCAAGCUCCACCUGAAAUACUACACUAAGACUGGGCAUGGUGGCUCAUGCCUGUAAUCCCAGCACUUUGGGAGGCCGAGGUGGGCAGAUCACCUGAGGUCGGGAGUUCGAGACCAGCCUGACCAACACAUAGAGAAACCCUGUCUCUACUAAAAAAAAAAAAAUACAAAAAUUAGCAGGGCGUGGUGGCGCAUGCCUGUAAUCCCAGCUACUCGGGAGGCUGAGGCAUGAGAAUCACUUGAACCCAGGAGGCAGAGGUUGAUCGCGCCAUUGCACUCCAGCCUGGGCAAAAAGAGCGAAACUCCAUCUUAAAAAAUAAUAAUAAUAAUAAUACACUACUCAUCUAUAAAACAGCCACAAUUAUCACCUACUUCACUGUGUUAUUGUGAGCACUGACUACAAUAAUAGGUAGAACUUAGGAAAUUGCCAAUUCCAACUGUCUUUGGCUAUAAAAAGCAACAAUUACAUAGGAAACAUAAUCAGUAAAAGUUUGGGUAAAACUUAAAUGUUCGGCAAAUUCUUAAAUAAAUGUAUGUACCUGAUU